rnacentral:tRNA from 1 species
GGGGUUAUAGCUCAGCUGGUUAGAGCGCCACGUUGACAUCGUGGAGGUCACAGAUUCGAAUUCUGUUAACCCCACCA